GGACUACUGGGGUAUCUAAUCCUGUUUGCUCCCCACGCUUUCGUGCCUGAGCGUCAGUGUUAUCCCAGGGGGCUGCCUUCGCCAUCGGUAUUCCUCCACAUCUCUACGCAUUUCACUGCUACACGUGGAAUUCUACCCCCCUCUGACACACUCUAGCCAACCAGUCUCAAAUGCACCUCCCAGGUUGAGCCCAGGUAUUUCACAUCUGACUUAAUCAACCGCCUGCGCACCCUUUACGCCCAGUAAUUCCGAUUAACGCUCGCACCCUACGUAUUACCGCGGCGGCUGGCAC
rnacentral:rRNA from 1 species